rnacentral:rRNA from 1 species
GACGAACGCUGGCGGCGUGCUUAACACAUGCCAGUCGAACGGUGAAGCGCCUUCCUUUUUGGUGGGUGUGGAUGAGUGGCGAACGGGUGAGUAACACGUGAGUAACCUGCCCCCUUCUUCUGGAUAACCGCAUGAAAGUGUGGCUAAUACGGGAUAUUCUGGGUCUGUCGCAUGAUGGGUCUGGGAAAGAUAUUGUUUCGGUGGGGGAUGGGCUCGCGGCCUAGCAGCUUGUUGGUGGGGUGAUGGCCUACCAAGGCGGUGCCGGGUAGCCGGCCUGAGAGGGUGGACGGUCACACGGGGACUGAGACACGGCCCAGACUCCUACGGGAGGCAGCAGUGGGGAAUAUUGCACAAUGGGCGCAAGCCUGAUGCAGCGACGCCGCGUGAGGGAUGGAGGCCUUCGGGUUGUGAACCUCUUUCGCCAGUGAAGCAGGCCUGCCUCGUUUGUGGGUGGGUUGACGGUAGCUGGAUAAGAAGCGCCGGCUAACUACGUG